AGAGUUUGAUCCUGGCUCAGAUUGAACGCUGGCGGAAUGCUUUACACAUGCAAGUCGAACGGCAGCACGGGGGCAACCCUGGUGGCGAGUGGCGAACGGGUGAGUAAUACAUCGGAACGUGCCCAGUCGUGGGGGAUAACGCAGCGAAAGCUGUGCUAAUACCGCAUACGAUCUACGGAUGAAAGCGGGGGACUCGCAAGGGCCUCGCGCGAUUGGAGCGGCCGAUGGCAGAUUAGGUAGUUGGUGGGGUAAAGGCUCACCAAGCCUGCGAUCUGUAGCUGGUCUGAGAGGACGACCAGCCACACUGGGACUGAGACACGGCCCAGACUCCUACGGGAGGCAGCAGUGGGGAAUUUUGGACAAUGGGCGCAAGCCUGAUCCAGCCAUUCCGCGUGCAGGAUGAAGGCCUUCGGGUUGUAAACUGCUUUUGUACGGAACGAAAA
rnacentral:rRNA from 1 species